CUCUCCCUCAGCCGCCACUCUCCCUCCCCGCUUUCUUAUUUCUUUCUUUUGCCAUUAGUAGUCGGCAUUAAUUCAAGGCUAUGAGGAAGACAAAGAGGAUCAACAAGAGUGUAUCCUCAUUGCGAUCUCCAUUUAUGGACAAAAUUUUAACUUGUUGGUUCGUCUCUUCCCAGGUUGCUCAAGAGAAAAGUGUCUUUGAGAAAUUGUAUUCUCUUCUAAUGCCAAAUUUCUAGUGAUUACGGAGAAUGCUUCAUAUAUUAUUGGAUGCAUAAAAAUCAAUGGUUGCGAUGAGGGUGGUAACAUAAAUCAUCAAGAUCAAACGGGGGUGACAACAUGAAUCAUCAAGCAAAUGUUUAUGUUCGUUUAACGUGGAAUGUCGUAUAUUAUUUUUUAUCUCUAUUGCCAUCAAGCCAUACCGGCUAGUUCUUUUCUUCAAAUUUUAUUUAUUUAUUGUAAAAGAGUUAUUCA